GGAAGGAUCAUUACCGAGUUAGGGGCCCUUGGGCUCCAAACUUCCAACCCUUUGCUUACAACCUUUUGUUGCUUUGGCGGAGCGGAGGAGUCUCAUCUCCCCCCGCCGGCUUCGGUCGGUGCGCUCUCCGCCAGAGAUUUUUCAAAACCUGCUUGAAAACGUGUCAGUCUGAAGCAAAAAAUUUUAAAUCGCAAAAAAACUUUCAACAACGGAUCUCUUGGUUCUGGCAUCGAUGAAGAACGCAGCGAAAUGCGAUAAGUAAUGUGAAUUGCAGAAUUCAGUGAAUCAUCGAAUCUUUGAACGCACAUUGCGCCCUCUGGCAUUCCGGAGGGCAUGCCUGUUCGAGCGUCAUUACACCCCUCAAGCUCUGCUUGGUGUUGGGGGACCUCGCCCCGGUUUUGGGGCGCCCCCGAAAAUCAGCGGCGGUGCAGCCGGAUCUCUAGCGCAGUGACAUCAAACUUUCUCGCUACAGAUCUGGAGCAGAGCGCCACGCCGAAACUUCUUUUCUCUUGAAAUUGACCUCGGAUCAGGUAGGAAUACCCGCUGAACUUAAGCAUAUCAAUAAGCGGAGGAAAAGAAACCAACAGGGAUUGCCUCAGUAACGGCGAGUGAAGCGGCAACAGCUCAAAUUUGAAAUCUGGUCGCUUUGGCGGCCCGAGUUGUAAUUUGAAGAGGAUGCUUCGGGUGCGACACCGCUCUAAGUUCCUUGGAACAGGGCGUCAUAGAGGGUGAGAAUCCCGUCUGUGAGCGGCCGUCAACCCCAUGUGUAGCUCCUUCGACGAGUCGAGUUGUUUGGGAAUGCAGCUCAAAAUGGGUGGUAAAUUUCAUCUAAAGCUAAAUACCGGCCAGAGACCGAUAGCGCACAAGUAGAGUGAUCGAAAGAUGAAAAGCACUUUGGAAAGAGAGUCAAAAAGUACGUGAAAUUGUUGAAAGGGAAGCGCUUGCAACCAGACUCGCCUGGGGGUGUUCAGCCGUCUCUCGGGGCGGUGCACUCUCCCCCAGCCGGGCCAGCAUCGAUUUGGGCGGCCGGAUAAAGGCCUCGGGAAUGUGGCUCUCUUCGGGGAGUGUUAUAGCCCGGGGUGCCAUGCGGCCAGCCCGGAUCGAGGACCGCGCUUUUGCUAGGAUGCUGGCAUAAUGGUUGCCAGCGACCCGUCUUGAAACACGGACCAAGGAGUUGACCUACCGCGCGAGUGUUUGGGUGUAAAACCCGUGCGCGUAAUGAAAGUGAACGGAGGUGAGAGCCGCAAGGUGCAUCAUCGACCGAUCCUGAUGUCUUCGGAUGGAUUUGAGUAUGAGCGUGGUGGGUCUGACCCGAAAGAUGGUGAACUAUGCGUAAAUAGGGUGAAGCCAGAGGAAACUCUGGUGGAGGCUCGCAGCGGUUCUGACGUGCAAAUCGAUCGUCAAAUUGGCGCAUAGGGGCGAAAGACUAAUCGAACCAUCUAGUAGCUGGUUCCUGC
rnacentral:misc_RNA from 1 species